rnacentral:rRNA from 1 species
UACGGAGGAGGCAAGCGUUAUCCGGAAUUACUGGGCGUAAAGAGCGCGCAGGCGGUCGAUCAAGUCGAGUGUGAAAGCCCCCGGCUCAACUGGGGAGGGUCAUUCGAUACUGAUCGACUCGAAGGCAGGAGAGGGUAGUGGAAUUCCCGGUGUAGUGGUGAAAUGCGUAGAUAUCGGGAGGAACACCAGUGGCGAAGGCGACUACCUGGCCUGUUCUUGACGCUGAGGCGCGAAAGCUAGGGGAGCAAACGGG